GACGAACGCUGGCGGCGUGCUUAACACAUGCAAGUCGAACGGAAAGGCCCUGCUUUUGUGGGGUGCUCGAGUGGCGAACGGGUGAGUAACACGUGAGUAACCUGCCCUUGACUUUGGGAUAACUUCAGGAAACUGGGUCUAAUACCGGAUAGGAGCUCCUGCUGCAUGGUGGGGGUUGGAAAGUUUCGGCGGUUGGGGAUUGACUCGCGGCUUAUCAGCUUGUUGGUUGGGUAGUGGCUUACCAAGGCUUUGACGGGUAGCCGGCCUGAGAGGGUGACCGGCGACAUUGGGACUGAGAUACGGCCCAGACUACAACGGGAGGCAGCAGUGGGGAAGAUUGCACAAUGGGCGGAAGCCUGAUGCAGCAACGCGGCGUGCGGGAUGACGGCCUUCGGGUUGUAAACCGCUUUAGCCUGUGACGAAGCGUGAGUGACGGUAAUGGGUAAAGAAGCACCGGCUAACUACGUG
rnacentral:rRNA from 1 species